rnacentral:pre_miRNA from 1 species
AAGGGGAGCACUGGCUCCUGGGCUGUGUCCCUGUUGCCUUGGGCUCUGGGGUCUCCACUGCUGGAAUCGCGUUCCUGGGCCACAUAGCCACCU